rnacentral:rRNA from 1 species
UACGGAGGGGGCUAGCGUUGCUCGGAAUCACUGGGCGUAAAGCGCACGUAGGCGGAUUGUUAAGUCAGGGGUGAAAUCCUGGAGCUCAACUCCAGAACUGCCUUUGAUACUGGCGAUCUUGAGUCCGGGAGAGGUGAGUGGAACUCCGAGUGUAGAGGUGAAAUUCGUAGAUAUUCGGAAGAACACCAGUGACGAAGGCGGCUCACUGGCCCGGUACUGACGCUGAUGUGCGAAAGCGUGGGGAGCAAACAGG